AACGAACGCUGGCGGCAUGCCUAACACAUGCAAGUCGAACGAGACCUUCGGGUCUAGUGGCGCACGGGUGCGUAACGCGUGGGAACCUGCCCUUAGGUUCGGAAUAACUCCCCGAAAGGGGUGCUAAUACCGGAUAAUGUCUUCGGACUAAAGAUUUAUCGCCUUUGGAUGGGCCCGCGUUGGAUUAGCUAGUUGGUAGGGUAAAAGCCUACCAAGGCGACGAUCCAUAGCUGGUCUGAGAGGAUGAUCAGCCACACUGGGACUGAGACACGGCCCAGACUCCUACGGGAAGCAGCAGUGGGGAAUAUUGGACAAUGGGCGAAAGCCUGAUCCAGCAAUGCCGCGUGAGUGAUGAAGGCCUUAGGGUUGUAAAGCUCUUUUACCCGGGAUGAUAAUGACAGUACCGGGAGAAUAAGCUCCGGCUAACUCCGUG
rnacentral:rRNA from 1 species